UGAGGAAUAUUGGUCAAUGGGGGAAACCCUGAACCAGCGACGCCGCGUGAGGGAUGAAUGGGCUUUGCCCUGUAAACCUCUGUCGGAUGGGAAGAAAAGUCCCCUUAGGGGACUGGGACUGUACCAUUAAAGGAAGGGUCGGCUAACUACGUGCCAGCAGCCGCGGUAAUACGUAGGACCCAAGCGUUGUCCGGAAUUACUGGGUGUAAAGGGUGCGCAGGCGGGCUUGUGCGUCAGAGGUUAAAUCCCACCGCUUAACGGUGGAGAUGCCUUUGAUACGGCAAGUCUUGAAUGCGAGCGAGGUAGGUAGAAUUCCUGGUGUAGCGGUGAAAUGCGUAGAUAUCAGGAGGAAUACCAGUGGCGAAGGCGGCCUACUGGCUCGUUAUUGACGCUCAGGCACGAAAGCGUGGGGAGCAAACA
rnacentral:rRNA from 1 species